rnacentral:misc_RNA from 1 species
GAUGAAGAACGUAGCGAAAUGCGAUAAGUAGUGUGAAUUGCAGAAUUCAGUGAAUCAUCGAAUCUUUGAACGCACAUUGCGCCCUUUGGUAUUCCUUAGGGCAUGCCUGUUCGAGCGUCAUUUAAACCUUCAAGCUCAGCUUGGUGUUGGGUGACUGUCCGCUUCACCGCGGACUCGCCUCAAAAUUAUUGGCGGCCGGUACAUUGGCUCUCGAGCGCAGCAGAAACGCGUAACUCGAGGUCCUCGUGCUGGCUCCCAGAAGCUAUCUUCACAAUUUUGACCUCGGAUCAGGUAGGGAUACCCGCUGAACUUAAGCAUAUCAAUAGCGGAGGA